rnacentral:rRNA from 1 species
UAGGGAAUAUUGCUCAAUGGGCGAAAGCCUGAAGCAGCAACGCCGCGUGUGUGAUGAAGGCCUUCGGGUCGUAAAGCACUUUUCUGGGAGAUGAGAAAGGACAGUAUCCCAGGAAUAAGUCUCGGCUAACUACGUGCCAGCAGCCGCGGUAAAACGUAGGAGGCGAGCGUUAUCCGGAUUCACUGGGCGUAAAGCGCGUGCAGGUGGCGCGGUAAGUUGGGCGUGAAAUCUCCCGGCUCAACUGGGAGAGGUCGUCCAAUACUACCGUGCUUGAGAGCAGAAGAGGAAGAUGGAAUUCCCGGUGUAGUGGUGAAAUGCGUAGAUAUCGGGAGGAACACCAGUGGCGAAGGCGAUCUUCUGGUCUGUUUCUGACACUCAGACGCGACAGCUAGGGUAGUAAACGGGAUUAGAGACCCCGGUAAUCCUAGCCGUAAACGAUGUGAACUUGGCGUUGGUGGGUUAAACUCCAUCAGUGCCGUAGCAAACGCGAUAAGUUCC